rnacentral:rRNA from 1 species
AUUGAACGCUGGCGGCAGGCCUAACACAUGCAAGUCGAACGAGCGGCGGACGGGUGAGUAAUGUAUGGGGAUCUGCCCGAUAGAGGGGGAUAACUACUGGAAACGGUGGCUAAUACCGCAUACUAUCGGAUGUACCCAUAUGGGAUUAGCUAGUAGGUGGGGUAAAGGCUCACCAAGGCGACGAUCCCUAGCUGGUCUGAGAGGAUGACCAGCCACACUGGGACUGAGACACGGCCCAGACUCCUACGGGAGGCAGCAGUGGGGAAUAUUGCGCAAUGGGGGCAAGCCUGAUGCAGCCAUGCCGCGUGAAUGAAGAAGGCCUUCGGGUUGUAAAGUACUUUCGGUGGGGAGGCGUUAACCGCAGAAGAAGCACCGGCUAACUCCGUGCCAGCAGCCGCGGUAAUAC